rnacentral:tRNA from 1 species
UCACCUGUAGUUUAAUAAACAUUGGCUUUGGAGGCCAAAGUUCGGAGUGGAUGAUUCUGCGGGUGAA